UUUAUUUUUGAGGAUGCAGAUUCCCUCACUGUUGCACAUACAUAGUAAAGGAGAAAGUGCUCGGGCUGGAGAGAUGGCUCAGCCGUUAAAGGCUAGGCUCGCAACCAAAAAUGUA
rnacentral:miRNA from 1 species